rfam:Drosophila sechellia strain Rob3c scaffold_1 genomic scaffold, whole genome shotgun sequence.
ACAAUUUUCUGCUGCGCAUUGGGGCACUACUGUUUUUUUUUAAUUGAGUAUUGCACUUUUCACAGCCUUAAAAUGU